rnacentral:rRNA from 1 species
CGUAGGGACCAAGCGUUGUUCGGAUUUACUGGGCGUAAAGGGCGCGUAGGCGGCAUAUUAAGUCAGCUGUGAAAUCUCCGAGCUUAACUCGGAACUGUCAGCUGAUACUGAUGUGCUAGAGUGCAGAAGGGGCAAUCGGAAUUCUUGGUGUAGCGGUGAAAUGCGUAGAUAUCAAGAGGAACACCUGAGGUGAAGACGGGUUGCUGGGCUGACACUGACGCUGAGGCGCGAAAGCCAGGGGAGCAAACGGGAUUAGAUACCCCGGUAGUCCUGGCCCUAAACGAUGAAUACUUGGUGUCUGGAGUUUUUAAUGCUCCGGGUGCCGUCGCUAACGUUUUAAGUAUUCCGCCUGGGGAGUACGCUCGCAAGAGUG